rnacentral:rRNA from 1 species
GGUUGAGCUGGCUCUUCUAGGGCAAUGUGCUCGCUGCCUUUCAAUAAUUUUCAUCCACCUGUGCACUUYUUGUAGGGGAUCUGGAAUUUGGACGUGCGCAAGCUUUGUUCAUUAGUACGGGUCUUCUAUGUUUUUACACACUCUUUAAAUGUAUGUCUAGAAUGUUUAACGUUUAUUGGGACUUAGUUGGCCCUCUAAAGAAACUAUACAACUUUCAGCAACGGAUCUCUUGGCUCUCGCAUCGAUGAAGAACGCAGCGAAAUGCGAUAAGUAAUGUGAAUUGCAGAAUUCAGUGAAUCAUCGAAUCUUUGAACGCACCUUGCGCCUCUUGGUAUUCCGAGAGGCAUGCCUGUUUGAGUGUCAUUAAAUUCUCAACCUCAAAAGCUUUUUUUGAGGAUUGGAUGUGAGGGCUUUGCUGGCUUUGAAUAAGAGUCGGCUCCCUUGAAAURCAUUAGUGGAAACCGUUUGGUGGACCACAUUGGUGUGAUAAUUAUCUACGCCAUGACUUUGUUGUCCACACUUCGAAUGCUAUAGYUUUUUAAACAAAAGCUAUAACACUUCGGUUUGGAGGGUUGCAAGUUGUGUAACAAUGACUUUUGCUCUCUCUGUUAAAAGGUAUCUGCUUCAAACCGUCCUAAGUUAUUGGACAAUUAAUUGAUUUGUUUGACCUCAAAUCAGGUAGGGUUACCCGCUGAACUUAAGCAUAUCAAUAAGCGGAGGAAAAGAAACUAACAAGGAUUCCCCUAGUAACUGCGAGUGAAGAGGGAAAAGCUCAAAUUUGAAAUCUGGCAGUCUCUG